rnacentral:antisense_RNA from 2 species
CUCUAUGGGCGGCGGUGACGGGGAAGCCUUCGGGCUUGCCGGUUUUCCUUUUUUGCACCGGUUCGCUAACCCUGUCAUUUGCCGCCCACCCCG